GGCACUGUGCCAGAAAUUGAUUGGAUUACUUUGAUGUGGUAGACAUAUGACUUAGUCAUCGGUGCUU
rnacentral:tRNA from 2 species